CAAAUUACUGAUACAUGAAACGGUUUUAAGUAAUGUAAGAAAUGUAAGAAAUGCAAUCCCAGACGCCAUACUGUUGCUUCUAAUCCUCCCUCACCAGCCCCUUCAGCCAGGGCCUUGGGCUGGGUAGUCACCCGCUGGCCUGGUGAAGGAGUGGCAGGGGGAAGUGGUCUUUGUCUGUGGUCUGUGGUCGUCUGUACGAGGAGCCUGUAGUCAGCGGUGUUUGUGUGUGCGUUAAUGAGUAACCGACUUCGAGUAUCACAAACACCGCUACUGUUCAGAAGAGCGACUCCGAAGUGAUCCCAGUGUACUGGGCAUGGUUGAGAAAUUCCCUCUGUACUAGGAGUCUGUAGUCAGUGGUGUUUGUGUGUGCGUUAAUGAGUAACCGACUUCGAGUAUCACAAACACCGCUACUGUUCAGAAGAGCGACUCCGAAGUGAUCCCAGUGUACUGGGCAUGGUUGAGAAAUUCCCUCUGUACGAGGAGUCUGUAGUCAGGUGUGUUUGUGUGUGCGUUAAUGAGUAACCGACUUCGAGUAUCACAAACACCGCUGCUGUUCAGAAGAGCGACUCCGAGGUGAUCCCAGUGUACUGGGCAUGGUUGAGAAAUUCCCUCUGUACGAGGAGUCUGUAGUCAGGGGUGUUUGUGUGUGCGUUAAUGAGUAACCGACUUCGAGUAUCACAAACACCGCUACUGUUCAGAAGAACGACUCCGAAGUGAUCCCAGUGUACUGGGCAUGGUUGAGAAAUUCCGUCUGUACGAGGAGUCUGUAGUCAGGGGUGUUUGUGUGUGCGUUAAUGAGUAACCGACUUCGAGUAUCACAAACACCGCUACUGUUCAGAAGAGCGACUCCGAAGUGAUCCCAGUGUACUGGGCAUGGUUGAGAAAUUCCCUCUGUACGAGGAGUCUGUAGUCAGGUGUGUUUGUGUGUGCGUUAAUGAGUAACCGACUUCGAGUAUCACAAACACCGCUACUAUUCAGAAGAGCGACUCCGAGGUGAUCCCAGUGUACUGGGCAUGGUUGAGAAAUUCCCUCUGUACGAGGAGUCUGUAGUCAGGUGUGUUUGUGUGUGCGUUAAUGAGUAACCGACUUCGAGUAUCACAAACACCGCUACUGUUCAGAAGAGCGACUCCGAGGUGAUCCCAGUGUACUGGGCAUGGUUGAGAAAUUCCCUCUGUACGAGGAGUCUGUAGUCAGGGGUGUUUGUGUGUGCGUUAAUGAGUAACCGACUUCGAGAAACACAAACCCCGCUACGGUUCGGAAGAGCGACUCCGAAGUGAUCCCAGUGUACUGGGCAUGGUUGAGAAAUUCUGUCUGUACCAGGAGUCUGUAGUCAGGGUGUUUGUGUGUGCGUUAAUGAGUAACCGACUUCGAGUAUCACAAACACCGCUACUGUUCAGAAGAGCGACUCCGAAGUGAUCCCAGUGUACUGGGCAUGGUUGAGAAAUUCCCUCUGUACGAGGAGUCUGUAGUCAGGGGUGUUUGUGUGUGCGUUAAUGAGUAACCGACUUCGAGUAUCACAAACACCGCUACUGUUCAGAAGAGCGACUCCGAAGUGAUCCCAGUGUACUGGGCAUGGUUGAGAAAUUCCCUCUGUACGAGGAGUCUGUAGUCAGGGGUGUUUGUGUGUGCGUUAAUGAGUAACCGACUUCGAGUAUCACAAACACCGCUACUGUUCAGAAGAGCGACUCCGAAGUGAUCCCAGUGUACUGGGCAUGGUUGAGAAAUUCCCUCUGUACGAGGAGUCUGUAGUCAGGGGUGUUUGUGUGUGCGUUAAUGAGUAACCGACUUCGAGUAUCACAAACACCGCUACUGUUCAGAAGAGCGACUCCGAAGUGAUCCCAGUGUACUGGGCAUGGUUGAGAAAUUCCCUCUGUACGAGGAGUCUGUAGUCAGGGGUGUUUGUGUGUGCGUUAAUGAGUAACCGACUUCGAGUAUCACAAACACCGCUACUGUUCAGAAGAACGACUCCGAAGUGAUCCCAGUGUACUGGGCAUGGUUGAGAAAUUCCGUUAAAGUGGA